rnacentral:rRNA from 1 species
AACGAACGCUGGCGGCAGGCCUAACACAUGCAAGUCGAACGCCCCGCAAGGGGAGUGGCAGACGGGUGAGUAACACGUGGGAAUCUUCCUCGUAGUACGGAACAACUCAGGGAAACUUGAGCUAAUACCGUAUACGCCCUUCGGGGGAAAGAGUUAUCGCUAUGAGAUGAGCCCGCGUCCGAUUAGCUAGUUGGUGAGGUAAUGGCUCACCAAGGCUACGAUCGGUAGCUGGUCUGAGAGGAGGAUCAGCCACAUGGGGACUGAGACACGGCCCAAACUCCUACGGGAGGCAGCAGUGGGGAAUAUUGGACAAUGGGCGCAAGCCUGAUCCAGCCAUGCCGCGUGAGUGACGAAGGCCUUAGGGUUGUAAAGCUCUUUUGGCGGGGAAGAUAAUGACGGUACCCGCAGAAUAAGCUCCGGCUAACUUCGUGCCAGCAGCCGCGGUAA